ensembl:snRNA U6 U6 spliceosomal RNA
GUGCUCCUUGGGCAGCACCUGUACUUGAAUUGGAACAAUACAGAGAUUAGCAUGGUCCCUGCCCAAAGAUGACAGCAGGAUGAUGAACUCUUAAAUGUAAAC